GACGAACGCUGGCGGCGUGCUUAACACAUGCAAGUCGAACGGUGAAGCUCCAGCUUGCUGGAGUGGAUCAGUGGCGAACGGGUGAGUAACACGUGAGCAACCUGCCCCAGACUCUGGAAUAAGCGCUGGAAACGGCGUCUAAUACUGGAUACGAGAUCAAGCCGCAUGGUUAUGGUUUGGAAAGUUUUUCGGUUUGGGAUGGGCUCGCGGCCUAUCAGCUUGUUGGUGGGGUAAUGGCUCACCAAGGCGACGACGGGUAGCCGGCCUGAGAGGGCGACCGGCCACACUGGGACUGAGACACGGCCCAGACUCCUACGGGAGGCAGCAGUGGGGAAUAUUGCACAAUGGGCGAAAGCCUGAUGCAGCGACGCCGCGUGAGGGAUGACGGCCUUCGGGUUGUAAACCUCUUUCAGCAGGGAAGAAGCGAAAGUGACGGUACCUGCAGAAGAAGCACCGGCUAACUACGUG
rnacentral:rRNA from 1 species